CAGCAGCCACGGGAAUACGUAGGGUGCGAGCGUUAAUCGGAAUUACUGGGCGUAAAGCGUGCGCAGGCGGUUAUGUAAGACAGUUGUGAAAUCCCCGGGCUCAACCUGGGAACUGCAUCUGUGACUGCAUAGCUAGAGUACGGUAGAGGGGGAUGGAAUUCCGCGUGUAGCAGUGAAAUGCGUAGAUAUGCGGAGGAACACCGAUGGCGAAGGCAAUCCCCUGGACCUGUACUGACGCUCAUGCACGAAAGCGUGGGGAGCAAACAGGAUUAGAUACCCCGGUAGUCCCUGUCUCUUAUAC
rnacentral:rRNA from 1 species